rnacentral:lncRNA from 1 species
UCAUGGAAUACUAAACCUCCAAGCCAGUGCAUUUUCAGGAAGUCUGAUACAGUGCUUCAGGAACUGUUUGAACCAUUUCAUAGGCUAGACCCUAUGAAUUCUGCCAGGAAAAAUCCAGUCAUAAUGACCAGUAACGAAUCAGAAAACUGUGAGGGAAUAAAAGCACCGCUAUUUGAUUUUGUGAAAGAAGCUGCAGAACUGAAAGCUCCCCAAGUUGGAAGUGGUUGUUCCUUUCUGGCACUGUUUGAAGAUGAGAGCCAACCAAUCUACAAUAAUCCUUCCACAAAGCAUUUUAAUCUUUUUGUUAACCAAAGCAGUACUGACAUUUUUUUCAUCCAUUCUGACGUUAGAAAUCAAAUGACUGACAGAAAUUAUCCUUACAACACUAGAAAGGCUUAUCCUGCAAUCAAUAAAAAAAAAAGUUCUGUAGACAGACACCUUGAAGGCAUUUUCACAACUCCAGAACUCGUUUUUCUUAAAAGUAACAAUGACUCAAGUGCAAGCUACAAGGAAACCAGUGGACUUCAUAAAACCAACCUGCAGAACUUUAAUGAGGGACAGCACUACUUCAUACCCUGUGAAAAGAAAGAAAAACAUGCAAACCUUGAAAAAAUUGAGACAUUUGCUUAUCACCAUGAUCAGCAGAUUAACUUAAAGGAGAAUGUGCAGAAUUAUUCAAGAAAAAAAAGGGAUGACGAGUCCAUGAAAGAAACAGCCUGGAGACAGAACCAGCUCUUUGGAUUUGAAGAGUUAUGGAGUCACCACUCAGCAGCCAGUCUUACAGUUACUCUCCAAGGCAGACCGAGAGCUAUUUGAGCUGUAGUCCUGACACAUGUGAAGAGGAAGACACAGCCAAAAAGACAGAAUAUCUGAAUGAACAGUCCUUGAAGACACAUGAUGCCAACCUCUCAGCAAGCAGAGAGGCCCCCAAGAGCUUCCACACCAGAACUGUGCCUCUCCAGCCCAGCAGUAAUUUGUCUAGAGAAGAAGCAAACAUUCUUCAGGAUAAAGGCUUAAUGUUUUGCACCAUAGAGGACAAAAAUAAAAACCACGCUGCUCCAUCCGAGGGCA